AGAGUUUGAUCAUGGCUCAGGAUGAACGCUGGCGGCGUGCUUAACACAUGCAAGUCGAACGAUGAUCCGGUGCUUGCACCGGGGAUUAGUGGCGAACGGGUGAGUAACACGUGAGUAACCUGCCCUUAACUCUGGGAUAAGCCUGGGAAACUGGGUCUAAUACCGGAUAUGACUCCUCAUCGCAUGGUGGGGGGUGGAAAGCUUUAUUGUGGUUUUGGAUGGACUCGCGGCCUAUCAGCUUGUUGGUGAGGUAAUGGCUCACCAAGGCGACGACGGGUAGCCGGCCUGAGAGGGUGACCGGCCACACUGGGACUGAGACACGGCCCAGACUCCUACGGGAGGCAGCAGUGGGGAAUAUUGCACAAUGGGCGCAAGCCUGAUACAGCGACGCCGCGUGAGGGAUGACGGCCUUCGGGUUGUAAACCUCUUUCAGUAGGGAAGAAGCGAAAGUGACGGUACCUGCAGAGGAAGCGCCGGCUAACUACGUGCCAGCAGCCACGGUA
rnacentral:rRNA from 1 species